rnacentral:lncRNA from 1 species
GGGGCACUCCAGGAAGAGCUGGCAGAAGCCCAGGGAAUACUUGCGCGCCAGCUGGAACACCUCGUGUCGCAUGCUGCGGUAGUAGAAGUUGUCAUCCAGGACGAGGCACAGCGGGCGGGUCCCGGGACCGCCGCCCCGCCCCGGGAGCAGCCCCUGCUCGGCGCAGCAGCUCAGGAAGCGGCCCCACGAGGGCGGGGCGGCGGCGGGGCCGGGCGGGGCGGGGUGGGAGCGCAGCGCCCGCAGGAGGCGCUCCAGGUGCCGCAGCAGUUCCCGCCGCCGCCGCUUCCACGCGGAGUCCAAUGGGGGCUCCCCGUCCGGAGGCUCGCCCCGCCCCCAGGCCUCCUCGGGGAUGAGGUCGUCGUAGGCGAGCAGCGCGCAGUCCCAGCCUUGGCGCAGCGGCAGCUGGCGGCGCAGAGCGCGGGCCAGCGUGGACUUGCCGGCGGCCGGCAGCCCGCACAGCACGCACAGCACCACGCGCCCGCCGUCCGCCCGCUCCAUCGCCGCCAGCCCAGUUCCGCGGCCCAGCCGCCGCCGCGCACCCCGGCGCGUCUUCCCUGAGGGAGCGGCCCCGCGCAGGCGCAGCGGGAGAGCGGGCGGGCGGCGACGGCGCCCCCUGGCGGAGCGGCGGCCCUCACGGCGGCUCUGGUUCGGGCAAUAAAUAACCGUUUCGGUGAACCGAGAGGUGACGAACCACGCCCCGGGUGGCCAUGAAAUCCCGGGGUGCGGGUGAUUACGUUAAGUCAGUGUGUUAGCGUGAUUCCGCGCUCCCGCCGCCAUCGCUCAGCGUUCUGAAGGCUCGCUGCUUGGACGGCGCGCUUUGCCCGCCGCGUUUCUGCCUGCAGGAGGGAAGGAGCGCGAACGGCCCACAGCUGCGGGCUGCCCGCACCGGACGGGACACGGCGGCUGGUAAACGACCGCUGCGCUCGGAGGAGCCCCGUUGUGCCACAGCUUUAAGGCAACCACAGCUGGACUUGAGGCUUUCCAUUAAAGAAAUAAAAACAAAAAGAAGAGGUGAGGUAGAAAAGGCACAAACGCAGCCGGCAGCUCUUAGCAGAAUAAUGGGAUGAGAGAGAGGCUGUGUUCAGGGGCUCUCCACACGGAGUCUUUCCCACUGGUGCGUGUGGCUGGAAGGAGCUCUGGCCGCACACGGGUGGGAUGCCAGCCCUCCUGGUUUCCCAUAUCAGUUCCUGGCAGCAGCUGUGGUCCGAGCAGCUCCUGACACAGCGGGUCUGGGUGGGACGGCGGGCCGGUGAGGUCCUGAAGGAACCGCAGGAAACUGCGUUUGUCCUGCGUGCCUGGAGGGGGAGAACGGCUUUGUGAAGCGCUGCAGCGCCUGCUUAGACAAGCGGUGCUUCUAAGCGGGUACUGCGCCGGCUGUAGCACAAGUAUGAGUUCUACAAACCUCGGAGCGGGAAAAUGCGAGAUGGUAAAAAAAUCAGGGCUUGCUGUGGCAGCCUAGGAGAGACGGUACAGAUAACCAGGUUAGCAGAGAGCACAUUUCAGAUCGUAGCUCGUUAUUCUCUACUAAGCUAAUGGUAUUUCAGAGCUUAUUUUCAUCUCCUCGACGUUUCACACUCCUUUAUGCAACUUUCAGACACUGUUUUGUCCUGUCCAAUACCCUCUGUUAAACAACUGGACAUCCUGAUGGCUUUCAUGUAUCAAAAAAACACAACUUAAUCAGUAACUACUUCAGACAAAGGCACUGUAUAACUGGGGUUACUCAGCAUGAAGUAACGCAACUAUGCAUCUGUCCUACCUGAUCAUUUCUUGUGGUAUGGGUUGGUCUGCUGCUUUGCUUUGGUUGCUGUGCAUUGUUACCCCUGGAAGGAAAACAGCGUCAUCAGGAAAAGCCCCAUUUGGAUUGGUAACAUGAAGGGAUGAAUGCUUACAAAGGGACCCAGCUAUAGAUCUCAUGUUUCUGACUUCACGCAUUCCUGGAUGUGGCAAAUAACUUCCAUGUUCAUCAUCAUAAAAUCAUCAUAGAAUGGCCUGGGUUGAAAAGGAGCACAAUGAUGAUCUAGUUUUAACCCCCUGCUAUGUGCAGGGUCGCCAACCACCAGACCAGACUGCCCAGAGCCACAUCCAGCCUGGCCUUGAAUGCUUGCAGGGAUGGGGCAUCCACAGCCUCCUUGGGCAACCUGUUCAGUACGUCACCACCCAUGUUCUAUGCCCCUGUACCCAUGAACACAAUUACAAGUACCAAUUAGAAAAGUGUGGUGCAUUUUAAGAAGAAAAAAAUGCUUGAGAACUGACAAUCAGAGCAUCUGUAUGAAAGUACCCACAUUUACCAAUAGCAGGAUAGUCUCUUUCUUUGGGGAGCUACGUAAUAUUUUUUACACGAAGUGUCUAACUAGAUUGCUAAAUUAAUUUAGACCACCCUCACAAGCAUUGAAGUACACAUUUGUAAUAAGUAUAAUACCUGUGUUGCCUUCUACUUUUCCUGCAAAACUUUCUCUUUAUUGCAUCACGCUUAAUUACUGCUAUUACAAUCACAAUCAAUAUUGGCAGCACAACGAAGAAGAAAAUAAGCAGACCGUCCCGAAGUGAUGUAUCUGGAGAAAAACAGGUGCAAUCGUGUAAGACAGUCAUCUUGGUUAACCUUAUAUGAAAGCAUUUUGCUGUUACAAAUACCUUUCUGAAUUACCAUCUUCAAAUUGUUAUAAAGCAAAACUAGUAAUUAGGAUUUGGACUUCCAUAAUCACAAAUUGUCCCUGCCUUACUCAGCCCGUGCUGUAUGACAUACAGCAUUUUGCUUUUAGUCAACAGAUGUGAAACACUUUCCAUGGCCUCUUGGUGUAAAGGUCAGAAAUAUUGACUCCUUUUUCCCCUUUGCAUAAUUCCAUGGCUCUCAGCUGAGCAGAGAUGAUGCAGCACGCACCUCCUUCAUCCCUCUCACUGCAGUGACACCUUUUCCAUAUGUAAAGUCUGCUGGUUUCAUUCUCAAGCUAUAGCCUUACUGUAUUAUAUAUAUUUUAUCAGGCUUUAAGUAAUUAGCAACUAAAUAUCUAAACAUCUAAUUGUUUUCAAAUGUCAAAGUAAUUUUAAGCAAUUAGUGUAUUGCUUUUUAUCUCAGACAAAACAGAUCCACUUCUCCCUUGGACCAGCUUUCAUGAUAUCUGCAGACCUACACAUCAGAUGCUGUUCAUUCUCCAAGGCAGUCACAACUGAGCAGUAGGGGGAAAAAAAAAGCUUUGGAAAAGAGACUGCAAACCACCCUGUAUGAGUAGAUAAAUUAAAUGGGACACUGGAGGCAAUAAGAAAGCAGUUUCAGAAUCAUACCCAUGUGAGUCGGACCACUGUCAAUACUGCCACCGUAGCCCGACUGGUUACAGAACGGAGGUGCCCAUCCAGAAUUGCAGUGGCAGUUCCCAUUGUUGUUACACACCUACAGCCAAUGCAAAAGGGAUUAGUCAAAUAAAGGCUUUUUGGAAGCGGCCACUUUCAACCUCUGACGUAUAUCUGAAGUUACACAUUAAGAACUGGACGUAGAAGCAAUACUGCACAGUAUUGCAUAGAGGUAGAGGAAGUAUAAGCUCACUGCUUCCAUAACAUCCCAAAACACUGAGUGGAGGAACUUCUCAGUUCUGAAACUGUCAGACUCCAUUUUCAUUUUUCACAGAGAAAUAUCUGAAUCCUGGAUCACCAGCCUGUUCUCCCCAGAGGAAUACUUUCCUCUUACAGUUUGACAGCUCAGAAAUGUUAGAAAAUUCCCGAGGGAAAUUUAGAAGAGACGUUUAGAAGUGCCUCUCAGUGUUAGUGCUAAGGUGUUUACAGUAUACUGCUAACAUGAAUUAUGGAUUAAAACAUGGAUUAAACUUCUAAUACAGAGCAGAAUAAAGCAAAGCCAUCUGUCAGGCUAUUGCUUUUAUAGAGGAAUUUUGCAGCUAUCUUCAAGAUAUAGGGCAUAAAAACACCAUCUACUCACCCCGUUGUCAUUACACUUCUGCUUUACAUCACAGCUGUAGCCCAGAUGACUUGCAUCAACACACUCAAAAGAUACACAGGCCUGGGAAAGUAUUCAGUGUCUUUUAAAUACAACAUUCCCCCCAAAUCCUAUCCAUUUUAUACAUAUACUAUAUAAUAAUAUACAUUUACAAGUCUACACAGCUUUUGCUUAUCGACCUUUUGCCUUGGCAUAUAGAACACUGAGUAGUUAACAGUUUUAUAGCUGUAUUUAUCUCAGAUUUUCUUAAAUCUAUGGAUGCAGCUUGAUGGAAGUAAUUUGACUGAUGAGAUUGCUCACUAAUUUGUAACAUCACAGUUUUUUUUAAGAGCUAAUUAAUUGUGUGUGUAUAUCUGAAAAAGCAGGUUCUUUAAUGACUUUACGGUAGACGAACAAGAGAACAGUUUAAUGCUUUUGAAAGUUAAGAGCUUUCCAGUUGGUGGAAUAUAUUGUGUAUGUAUGCUGAGAUUUGUCUUACCUUCUUUUCUCCACAUGCUGUUCCAUCAUGAACUUGAGCGGGAUCAGGGAUAUCUGAUCCUAAGUCAAAAUCAGAGGACCAGCAUAAAACCCCAGAUGCAUUAUUGACAACACUCCACGCAGGAAGAUUUUGAAGGCUAACAGAAGUGCACUGGAGCUUGCCACACAGACUGUGCCUGUAGUGAACAAAUGGCACUUGGAGAUAAGAUGAACAGCAAAAAAAUCACACACAAAAAAACCCCAGUAUAAAUGCAAAUACACCAUCCAGUCAAAUGUAGGCUGCAUUUUAAACAAAUAUUCUUGUCUUAAAUCUCAUGCUCUACAAGCUCAUACAGGAAUGUAUAUUUCACACUGGAGAUCUUAGGGGUGGCAUUGUUUAGUACUGACUUACUGAACAGGACACUUCUUGUACGCUCCACCUCUCAUUCCACAGUUUCCAAACCUAUCUCCUUUAAUAUUGGCUUUUUCAAAGCACAGAUCAGGUGCUUUUCGUGCCCCUGUAUGAAAAUUAGUGAAUCUUAGUAAGCCAUCAUGCUGUCUUAAAAAUAUGAGAAAGAAAAAGCAAGCUAUGAAAUGUCCUGUAGAAGACUACAAGUUUUUUUUUUUUUUUUUACAUUAAAUUAUAAACUUACCUUUUCCAUAUAUAGCUUCACACUGUGAAUCAUAGCUCUGACAUACUCCGUAGUAGCAAUAUGCUUUCAUGUUGUUGCAUGGGUAACCAUUCAUGAUAUAAACAUCAUCCGGGCAGUAGGCAUAGCUUCCAUUGCAGUAUUCAGGGAGAUCACAGAAACCCAUUUUUGAUCUGCAUUCUGCUCCUGCUGCUCUAAACUAGAACAGGAGAAGAGUGCCACCUCACUUUUAUUUCAUAACAGCACAACUUCAAACAUGAAACAAUGACAGCUGAGAAUCUGUGAUGUUAAAGAAGACAAAAUAGGUUUUUUUUUGGAUCAAUAUCUAAUGAAAGCCCAAAACUUCCCUCAGUUUCAUAGGGUGUAGCUACCAAGUUUUUGAGCUCAGUUUGCAGAAGGGCAGGGUAGGUCAUACAAACACACACACAAGCACAAAUUAAAAAGUAGCCAACAAUCAGAGACUUUGUAGAUGCCUGGGGUUGCAUAAUGGAAAUGACUGUUGCUGAAUGCCCUGAUUACUCCUUCCUCCUGUGAGGGAUGACACAGAGAUGACAUUCCAUUUCUAAGCUACAGAACUCAUUAGAGACAAUUUCUCUACUGCCAUGCUCUCUGCUGGUGAAGGUAGUUUGAUGUGGAACUAUGUCAAGAGAUACUAUGAGAUUCUUUUCCAACGUCUCCUAAAAAGCCAGCCUAGUAAUGAAUAUCAACUCAGCCUAAUAAAACAAAGCCUACCUUGCAGUUUUUGCAGCACAGUCCUUGUGCACAUUGCGAUCCAGAUGUAAGCUUGCAGGUGGCAGCAUCGCAGCAAGGGUUGGUGCAUUCCUAAGAACAGCCACGAAGAAGGGAACACGAUGUUUUUCCCUUGUGUAGCUAGGAAUGGAGCUGGUCAAGCCAAGCGCGUGGACAAACCAAACAUUACGUAUGCGAUCUGUCUUGCAUACUCUGAGAUUGAUAGCCUCUCACAGAAAGCAACAUACAGUCUGGCUGUAUUUUUUUUUUUUUUUUUUUGAUGGGCUAUGCCAUAGGAAUAUAAGAUAGGUUUCCACUUUAAGUGGGCACUAAAGAAGCAGACCAGAUCGUUUUUUAAAUAACACUGCUUAUCCCACCCCGUCUUAUUUUCCCAUUACACUGGCAGUUUGAUGUAAAGAAAUGCUGAUAUCUUUUCUUGGCUUAGAAGAAGACCUAUGCAAUGGGUUUGCUGACAGCCUUUUGAUUUAUCAGUGUCUUUUUUGAGACACCUUUAUUUUCUCAAGAACAAGCCAACAUACCCCAUUCUUAGAAAGACAUUUUUGCAGUGUGAAUAUGACACAAAGUAAUUGUGUUUUGGGCUAAUUUUGAGGGCUACAGGUAAGAAACAUGUAAGUGCUACACAAACUAGUAAUCUCUUUUAUGUAACAGAAAUCUCUACCUUGCUAAUACCAGCACAAAAACCAAUGGCAUUUUCACAUACCGUGCACUGAAAUGCACUUCUUUGUUAGGCAAUGACUCAAAGUUCUAUCAAGUCCAGUAGCUCUUAACUGAGUUCAUACCAAAACUGAUGUAUCAUUUUAGGCUUUUUUCCUAAAAUUUACCUUUACACAGCUUGCAAAAAUGUCCCCAGGUAUUAACACAAAUCAGGUGUACAAUAAGUAUGAUAUAACACACAAGUACCUGGCUGAAUUUCAUUACCUGUGG